AUGGUACAAAGUGGCUGCAAACCCCAUCUAGCAAGCAAAAAUCACACAAAACAUAAUGCAAGAAAUGAAGCAAGCAAGAAAGAUGAUGACCAAUGUGAAGCCGACAAAACUUACAUGGCUAUUGACUCCAAUACCACUUUGGUGCCUAUUCACCACUUGUGCAUAGAAACUUCAAACCUUGUUCACAAACUCUUGGAUUGCAGACCAUCUACAUUGGAGACAACACUCCUUGCGAGUGGUGGAUUGGAUGCGGCUCCACGUAGUGCUUGUGUUCAACGUACCAUGGGUGGAUGUUUUACCAAUACUAGGAGCCCUUUUACUCGGUUCCACAUAUAUGAUCCAUGUUUGUGCCCAGCUAAGCAUUACAGAACAAGGCAUUUUCAUGGGUUGAGUAAGCAUUUUCUCUUGCCUUCACCUUCUUUUUUUGAGUGCUCGAUGAUUUCCCAACAUCAAACAUAG
rnacentral:rRNA from 1 species